AUAUCAAUAAGCGGAGGAAAAGAAACUAACAAGGAUUCCCCUAGUAACUGCGAGUGAAGCGGGAAAAGCUCAAAUUUAAAAUCUGAUGGUCUUUGGCCGUCCGAGUUGUAAUUUAGAGAAGCGUUUUCCGCGCUGGACCGUGCACAAGUCUCCUGGAAUGGAGCGUCAUAGAGGGUGAGAAUCCCGUCUUUGACAUGGACUACCAGUGCACUGUGGUUGUGCACUCGACGAGUCGAGUUGUUUGGGAAUGCAGCUCUAAAUGGGUGGUAAAUUCCAUCUAAAGCUAAAUAUUGGCGAGAGACCGAUAGCGAACAAGUACCGUGAGGGAAAGAUGAAAAGAACUUUGGAAAGAGAGUUAAACAGUAUGUGAAAUUGUUGAAAGGGAAACGCUUGAAGUCAGCUGCAUUGGCUGGGGAUCAAGCCAGCUUAUUUGCUGGCUGUACUUCCUGGUUGAUGGGCCAACAUCAGUUUUGACCAUCAGAGAAAGGCAAAGGGAAUGUGGCACCUUUAUAGGUGUGUUAUAGCCCUUGGUUGUAUGUGGUGGUUGGGACUGAGGAUAGCAGCGUGCCACAAGGCCGGGUUUCGACCACGUUCACGCUUUGGAUGUUGGCAUAAUGGCUUUAAGCGA
rnacentral:rRNA from 1 species